CCAUAUGCAAAGGGCAAGUCAGCACCAUGAAACCUGCUUCCUCGUUUGGAAAAAUUGGGAUUAUCCUAAUGCCACCUCCCAGGAGUACAUAUGGAAUAUCAAACUAUCACUAUCUCUUGGUAAGCCCUGAGCCUGAAAGAAGGGUUCUAGAGACAGAUGGACCUCUCAAAGGCUUCUGAAUCCAAACAUCCAUUGCUACCUCGUUUUACAGAUGGGGAAACCAAGGCACCAAGACACUACUAAUAGGAGCUAGCAUUUACGGAGCACUGCAAACCUGCUUUUUUAUGUUUAAAAAGGUCUCUUCUGACCUUCAUAACCACACUGUGAGGUUGAUGCUAGUAUCAUUUUCCAGAGGAGGAAACUAAGGCCAGCAGAGGGGAAGUGACCUGCCCAGGCUCACUGGCAGCAUCUGAAUUCAGUCCAAGUCCAGCACCCUCUAUUUAUCUGGCUGCUAGACCUGCCUGGGGUUCUUCACCCGUUAGAUGGAAUUGAACCCAGGUCCAAGAAAGAAUCAUCAGAUACUUUCAGAAGAACUAUCAGAAGAAAACAAUGAGUAUGUAAUAUAUCUAAGCAUAAAUGUAUAAUUAGUGUAGAAUAAUUGUUAUAUAACUGAUUAGAAAUAAUACAUAUAAUGUAGUAUAUAACAUAUACAUAGGAGUGUGUAUAUAUACACAAAUCUAAUAGUUUUAUAGAUGAGAGGUACACUUCCCCCAUUCCCUCGCAUAUACCAGGCCGGAAGGACCCCACUUUCCACAGGAAAUGAUCCCCCUUCCCCAGCGGCGGCUGGGUACAGAGGGCACGCUUCACUUUGCUCUGCCUGCUUCAGUUUUUUCGUUUAACAAACGGGAACAAGAAAAGUUGAGACGUGCUAGAAAGCCAGGUCCUGGCCUCUUCCAGGACCGAGACGGAGAGAAAGCUGCCCAGAGCCGGCCCCCGGCACCGCCCCUCACCUAGGUUCUGCCCGCGCAGCACGGCGUAUGGCCGGCUCCUCUCCGGCGGCGUCCCCGCAGGGCUCUGGGCCUCCGCCUGCUCUGAAAAUAGGCUGCCCCCAAGGCCCAGAAACAGCAGCAGCAGCAGCCCAAGCCGCCGCGGCUGCCAGCGGCCGUCUGUCCACCACAGUAGCAUUGCCGUUACCGUUCGCCGAGGCAGGGUUCUGGAGGCGUGACUUCCUCUCAGCCCUGCAGCCACACCCCCGCGCUAUCGGCGGUCUUUCCGAUUGGCACCUCCUCGCCGCGCUCCCUUUGACAACUCGCGUGAGUUCCGUUAAGUCGCAUUGGUCACGCCUACUCUCGAGAAGUCCCCUUACAAUUGGCUUCUACUUUGAGCCGACCAGAGUCAUCACACGUGCCCUUGCGCCUUCCGUUGAGCCAAAUAGUGGAGUCACAAAACCCGCCCACCCCUCAGUUGGCCUCUCUGAUUGGUUUCUUCUCGCCGCGCUUCUCCACUGACAGUUUACGGCGUCUCGCCUCCGGGCAACAUCCGCCCGGAGCCUAGGCCCCACAGGCCCCGCCCUUCCCGAGUUAGGCCCUGUGAUUAGCUCUUCUUCUCCCGCGCGCUCUUCCGCUGUCUUCGCACGCUCCGCCCAUCAACCGAUAGUGGUGUCGUGACGUCACGCGCCCAGGCAACGUUAAUCUGGAGCCGUCGUUCCUCUAACGGCUCAUCAACCUCCCAUGCGCCCCCAGCGGCGUUAUCGUUCUGCUGAGCUCAGGGAUGGGUCCCGGUGGAGUGGGAAGAAGACUGGAUUUGGAGGCAAUUCAUCAAAAAAGCGUUCAUUCAGGGCUCCCGGAGCUGGGGCUUGACCUCUGAAAGAUCAAAUGAGAAAUAUUUUGAUUGGGGACGAAGCCCCUUAUUGGAGCUGCUCGACGUUUGCCUAGGCUUGUACCUGCAGCAGCCGGAAGUGUUAUUCUUCCCAUUUUAUAGAUGAGGAGACUGAGGCUCUGGAGGCCUCGGCAGGGCCAUUUAUUUUAGUGUCUGGGAAGGAAUUUCCCACGGACAGGAGGCUGGAACUAGGCAAAGCUCCCAAUGGGCUUUAUUAACAUGGCAGCAGUCAGUGGGGGCCCCCCCACAUAUUCCCAAAUUUCUACUCGACUGGACCAUUCCUUGAAGUAUCACCCACAACUCCACAAGUUUUUAUUUUUUGAAACUUUUUUAUAGGCUUCGCAAAAGAGGUUUUUUUUUUUUUUUCAAGUUGGAGAACAUUGGUUGCUUAGCCCAACUCUCACAUUUUACAGAGGGUGAAACUGAAGCCUGGUUCCCCAGGGGAACCCCCAGGGGGAGGGGGACCAUCAAACUGCUGCAGGUAGUAAACAGCAGAGGUGGGAUUCGGACUUGGUGUCCUUGCUGCUUUUUUCUUUUAUCUUUGUGUUAGAAAGAGGGCAUUAAGCCCUUGCUGUGUUCAGGGCACCCUGAUGGAGCCUGGUCAAGAAGACAGAACGUUUAGGGAAGAGUGGCUUUUGCCCCUUUAGUCUCUUAGGGCAGAGACACCGACAGUGAAAACUAUUGCUACACUACCAUGCCUUUGCAAAUCCUGGAAUUGCAGGAAAGAAGCCUCGUUGGGCACUUAGAUUCUUCCAGAAGUUUUUCUGGAGCAUAGCAGAUAAUGAUGCUACCUCAGCGUGGACUCUGAUCGGAUGAAAGUAUAACAUGUUUGGUGGGAAGCUGGUCCUAAACUCUCUUCGUAUGAGGCAGAUGGGAUACCAAGAAACCAGGAAAGAGGAGAAAAUGUACAUGGAAUCAGGAAAGUGUCCUGGGGCAGCUUUGUGUAAGAUGGAACUGCUGCCACCUCAAGGCUGCAGAUGCCUGUCCUCCCUAGACCCAGGCUGCUGCUUCUAGACUAGCUACAUGUUCUGAAAUCUGGAACAUUCAGAGAUGCAAUCUCGGAGCCUUUCAUGUUUGAAGUCCCAGAAUUGGAACUUUGGGCAAAUUGCUAAGACUAUAAUAAAUCCCCCUUUCCAAGACUUCUUUUUACUACCACAAGUCAGUUUUGGAAUAUAGACGAGGAGAGAAGCCUUUUUCUCUCCAUAGAAUUUUUAGUGGCAUGCCUGCAGAGAGGGCUGAUUAGCAGCCAGCCUGGGAAGCAGAGCUGAGAAGACUUAACAACAACCUAUCUUCCCUGGAGGUUGUAGUUUGGAAAAUGGGGUUGAGAGUGUUUACUGCUCGAUUAGUUUCCCUUGUUCCAUCUACCUGACAUGCGAUUUUCAGUCAGUACCCUUUUUGCAUUGCUAUGAUGGCAAAAACGAAGUACUUGUGGCUGGGCAAGAGAGGUUCAGAGGAAAAUGGGGACCCCCUGAGUAGUGGUUGACUAGAUGGCAGGGAACUCUCAACCAGACAGGUUUUUGGGGUCCCAAAUAUGGCCAUGCACGUGCUGCACACAUUAAUCCUGGUCGCUGUGGCUUACGAGAAACUGAAUCCCUUGGAAUGACCCAGGCCAGGGCAUUUCUGUCAGUCAACAUUUACCUGGUAUACCCAGUGAGAUUAUCAGAGUUCACUUUUGUCCUUCCCUCACCAUCACACAAGGGAACCAACUCAGAAAUAGGGGGAGGGGAGAACCUCGGUCACUUGUUCUGGCGAAAAGGCGGUUACCUCUAGUAGCCAUGCAUGUGCCGGCAGUGGAGGAGCCAGGGGAAGACUCUGGACACUGCUCCGGAUGCUGAAUGUGCUGGCCGAUUGACUGGCAGCCGGGCCAGUGUGUUUUAUAUAGCUUUUUUUCUUUGAUGUAAUGGGAGGAUUCUAGUUGGGAUGGGGGACGUACUGGGCAAUGGAUGGCUGGAGUUUAAAAUAUGAAUGGCAUAUCUUAAAAAAAAUAUUGGCAUUGCCUAUAUAGCUCAAUUUGGAUGAUGGCCAAGUCCCCAACACCCAGCAAGUGGCCUGUCCGUCUGCCAUUAUGGCUUUAUUCUUGUGGGUCUUGAAAACUUUAGUACUGCAGGCCCCUGUUCCAGUAGGAUAUUCCUGGGAGAUUUUCUAUCUUAAUUAUAAGCUAACUUUAGGCUUAAUAGAACCAGGGAGGAAGCAAAGGGGCUAGCUGGAGUGGUGGAGAGGAUGGUCAGUGGAGGCCCUUUAUAAACAAAACGAGUCCCAUGUUCUUUCACAUGGCAGCUGCUUCUCCCCAAGGUUUUUUCUUAAAAAGUAUGCCUUCACAGGCUACAAUAAAACAUAUCCUUAACCACCUUCAUUCAGUUGCUGACAUCUAGACAGGUGUAAUAUAUUGGAAGAAAGGAUGAGGGAUUGUGUUGUCUUUAGGUCAGGUGUUGUUUCUUCCCUGAAUUUGCAAUGGUCACAGCACUUGUUCUUGUUCCCCUCAUUAGCCUGCUGUUUCCCAUGAUUGCUGUUGGACCCUCUAUUCUGUGACCCCUGGUAUUGAUAAUUUCCACCCCCACUGUAACCCUGCUCAUAUUUGGCCUUCAUUGGGCAAAAGCAAACCACAUGGCCAAUUCUGUUAAAUAAGAAACACUUCCUAUUAUCUCUUUGCCCCCUUUGGUGGUACUGUGUGUUUUGUCUUGUGAAUGUUUUAAUAGCGGCCAGAUUUUUUACCUUUUCUAUCUCUAUCUGUCUCAAAGUUUCUUUGGUCUCAUGCAAUUUUUUUUCAGCUCUUCCUUUUCCCUAUCUUGUUGAUCUUGAUUUUCAAACAGGUAAGUAGCUGAGUCCCUAAGUUCUGAUAAGGAAAGAGAUUCAUAUUUGGGUCAGUGAUUCUGGAAAAAAUUUCCAAGAUGUUGGGUGCAGCCUUUGAGGAAUUGCCUUCUCACAUGGGCAAUGGAUUCUUGGGAAUCCUGGCUAUAACCUAAGAUGGCUUCUGCGUUCUCGAGAAGCCUGUCAAUGAAUAAGGAAGGGUGCUUUUUUUUCUCCUGUUGCAAUCUGUCAAAUUUACCCCAUGCAUUUUGGUCUAUCACAAAAAGAUCUUAUUGCUUGUAACAAAUCCUCCCUAGCUUUUUUAAGAUGACUCAUAUUUAAUGGUCUUGCAAAGUCAAAAUCUUCAUAUACUUCCGGCCAGCUGGUAAGACUGUCAUCUUGGCGAGUUUUCUCAAUAAAUUUUUUGUGUUCUUGGGGCGUGAAAAGUUCAGAAAGCAGGAUCUCCACAUCCCUGAAAUCAGGCUCAUAAAGCCUGAAAGCUCUUUUCAGUUCUUUUAUACAUUUAAAUGGCUCAGGUAAAAGACUUAGGCACCUUUGCAUGCCGUAUCCCCGAGUCUGGUGUCCAUUUGGUGAAAUCCCAGAGAGGCAUGAUUUUGUAUGCCCCCAGGACUUCCUCAGGUUCAUAGCUAGUUUGUUUGUCUACCAGGACUUUGUUGUUGCACAUUCCCACUGCCUCUGCUGUUGUCAAGUUGGAUGUCUCAGUGCCCUUGCUCAUGUCUGUGUUGUCAGUAACGUCUGUGUUGUCUUUAGCCACCUCCCCAGGCCCUGUCUCAGUCCCAUUCCCCAGGUUCCCAUUCUUUCUCCUGCUAUGUUCCUGGCACUCCUCAGUUAUAAUUGGUAUGUGAGAGAAUGAUAUGUCUAGCUUGUGGUCCAUUAUUUUGUUCAUUGCCUUCUUUCCCAGGAUUGUCCCAAUCCCCUUUGUGAUGUACGUACAUGCCUUCCCAGUAGGCACUAGAGCUACAUAUGCCUGGGGAAGAGCCUGCCAUAAUGUUGAUCUCUCAAAUGGCAGUUUGUUCCAGUAUUUAGUGAUGUUAAAUAUUGCCCCAAUUGUAUCAUUAAUCAUACCAGUGAUGGUAUUGUAAAUAAAACGGUGCCCCCAAUACGCUAAGAUGGAUCCCCACCAACAUUGUCCAAAAUCUUUUUUGGAUCAUUUUGGUUCCCUGUUAUGGCUACCCCUCUUUGUUGUUCACACUCGUUCUUCUUUACUUAGGAAUCAAAUGUCUGAUCCUAUGUAAUGACUGCCUGUGUACUGUCCCUUAGGAUGGCUGCCCUGCCCAGACAGUUCCAACUGUCAAAGAACCCCUGGGGUGCCACUUGUAAUAUAUCUGAAGAAAGGAUGAAGGAGAAAGAGUGAGAGGAGGUGGUGUUGUUUAGCCGGAGGAGAGAAGGAGGAUGGAUUUUGUCUUUUCCCCCUCAGCCCUCUCUGACCAGACCCCCUUGGCUGCCUUCAACUCCUACUGGCAGGCUCUCUGGGAUCUUCGUUGAAAGAGGCUUCAAGUGUUGAGCCUCUUUCUUCUGGGGAAGAGAGAAACCCCUUCUCUCCCCCCUCAAUUCAGGUUGUCUUGAGUGUAUUGGAGGGAAGCAGGAAAGGGACAGGGCUGAGGAAUGGUAAGGAUUGAGAUUCAGGAAGGAAAGAGGGAGAGGGGGGCCCUAGCUAAUGAACACCCUUCCCCCCAAAGUUAGGCAGCUCAGGUCUGAUAAUCUGAGGGGUUCAGAGUAGAGGAACCCUGGUUUCUUGGCUGGCACAGCAAGUGUCCCCAAGUUCAAGGUUCAAAGGGAGUUGUAGAGAUCUUCUUUGUGGACUGCUUGUCUUUCAAAGUCCUUGUCCAUUGGCUGGGAUUUGGGAGGAUCUGGGAUCAGGAAUUCAGGGAGAGAAAGAUCACUGACUUUGAGAUUCCGUCAGAGUCCAGAGACCCUCUGCCCAGGUAUUCUCCACCAGGAGGCAGUUGCAGCUGCCUGGAUCAGCUUUUUUUCUCCCUCCAAGGUUCCAAGUUCCUUUGUGCCCAUCCUCCCUUCGCUGCUUGCAGGAUUCUUGCAGCUCUUCCAGACUUAUUCCCAAGUUUCCAGAUUUCUCCGUCUUACACAGGGCAGCUAGGUGAUGGGUAGGGGAUAAAGCACUGGGUCUGGAGUCAGGAAGCCUCAUCUUCCUGAGUUCAAAUCUGUCCUCACUAGCUGUGUGACUCUGGACAAGUCAAUUAACCCUGUUAGGACCCUGGAUGAGUCAAUUAACCCUGUUGGCCUCAGUUUCCCAUCUGUAAAAUGAGCUGGAGAAGAAAGUGGCCUUUUGCUCCAGCGUCUUUGCCAAGAAAACCCCAAAUGGGGUCUUAAAGUCAGACAUGAAUGAAAACCACUGAAUAAGUGACAUUAGGUUUCUUAUAUUUCACAUUUCAUACUCCUAAAAAUAACGGGAGGAAACCCCAGACUGUUGACUUCUCUGACUUUGCUCCUUCAGACCUAGUCCUCAAGAUAGCAAAAUAAAUAGGGGUCGGUUUUGAUUUUGCCUUGCUGUGAUACUAGAACGUAAGCCCCUUGAAGGCAGGGGACCUUCCCGUCUUUGUCUCUCCAGUACCUAGCACAGUGCCUAGCACAUCCUAGCUGUAGUUAUGUGAGAGAGGGUUAAAUAGUCAAAGCAAUGGAAUUAGUCGCCAGAGCUGUGGCUGUUGGGGUCCGAAAUGCCAAUGUGAAUGAUUCAGUAAGCCUGGGCCAGGCACGGUAACUCCAAUUAUUAUAGAUAAGAGACAAGCUUUUGUUCUUUUAGGCAAUUGGGGAAAUAUCUGCCAGCGAGAUGACAAAGAUUCUUUGAGGGUUGGUACAAGAGGUCUAAAACUUUUCCAGAACAAAAACAUCUCUUGGAGGCCUACAAAAACACUCCAGAACGAGCCAGAAAAACCACGUGUAGCCCAAGCCUUAGAACACAGAGGCAUCUUUUCUGAGAAUUAUUUGUGGCUUCUUUCUCCCUGGGUCAGACCCUAACAUAUCACUUAAUAAGUGACCAUUUGACAGAAUGGAACGGUGUGGCAUAUCGUGUAUGAAUGAAAUGGAAUGUUAUUGCAUCUUAAGUGUCAAAGUGUCAAAGAUGGGAAAACAAAAUUUAUAUAAAGUGACCUAGAACCAAGAAGGGCAAUAAAUGUACGUAUUGAGCCCACUAGACCUUAAUAAAAUCUGGAAAAAUACACUGAGAAUUCUGAAAGGGACCCAGAAGCAAAAACGUUUAGGGAAAAAGUUAGCUUUUUAAAAUGAAGCAGAAGUUUGUGGUUUCAUGUAUAAUUUGUGUAUUUAAGAGAUUUUUGUAACACUUAAGUGCUGGAUACAUGUAAUUUCCUAAUGAAUGCUUGUGGAUUAAUGAUUACAACAGUACAAUAAAAUUAACUAUGCUUA